rnacentral:rRNA from 1 species
GACGAACGCUGGCGGCGUGCCUAAUACAUGCAAGUCGAGCGAUGAAGAUUGGUGCUUGCACCAAUCUGAAGAGCAGCGCACGGGUGAGUAACGCGUGGGAAAUCUGCCUUUGAGCGGGGGACAACAUUUGGAAACGAAUGCUAAUACCGCAUAACAUCUUUAAACAUAAGUUUUAAGUUUGAAAGAUGCAAUUUCGUCACUCAAAGAUGAUCCCGCGUUGUAUUAGCUAGUUGGUGAGGUAAAGGCUCACCAAGGCGAUGCUACCUCGCCGACCUGAGAGGGUGAUCGGCCAGACUGGGAGUGUGACCCGGCACAAUGGCCUACGGGAGGGAGCAGGAGGGCUACGUCGGCAAGCGGCGGAAGUCUGAGCGAGAAACGCCGCGGGAGUGAAGAAGGUUGCCGGGUCGGAAAACUCGGUUGUUAGGGAAGAACGUUGUUGAGAGUGGAAAGCUCAGCAAGUGACGGUAACGACCCAGAAAGGAACGGCUAACUACGUG